GAGCCCGCGUCUCAUUAGCUAGUUGGUAAGGUAACGGCUUACCAAGGCGACGAUCAGUAGCCGACCUGAGAAGGUGAUCGGCCACACUGGAACUGAGACACGGUCCAGACUCCUACGGGAGGCAGCAGUGGGGAAUAUUGCACAAUGGGCGCAAGCCUGAUGCAGCAACGCGGCGUGAGCGAUGAAGGCCUUCGGGUCGUAAAGCUCUGUCCUCAGGGAAGAAUAAUGACGGUACCUGAGGAGGAAGCCCCGGCUAACUACGUGCCAGCAGCCGCGGUAAUACGUAGGGGGCGAGCGUUAUCCGGAAUCAUUGGGCGUAAAGGGUGUGUAGGCGGUUCGGUAAGCGAGAGGUGAAAGGCUAUGGCUCAACCAUAGUAAGCCUCUCGAACUGCUGGACUUGAGUGCAGGAGAGGAGAGCGGAAUUCCUAGUGUAGCGGUGAAAUGCGUAGAUAUUAGGAGGAACACCAGUGGCGAAGGCGGCUCUCUGGACUGUAACUGACGCUGAGGCACGAAAGCGUGGGGAGCAAACAGGAUUAGAUACCCUGGUAGUCCACGCCGUAAACGAUGG
rnacentral:rRNA from 1 species